rnacentral:rRNA from 1 species
CAUGUAGGCGGCUUAAUAAGUCGAGCGUGAAAAUGCGGGGCUCAACCCCGUAUGGCGCUGGAAACUGUUAGGCUUGAGUGCAGGAGAGGAAAGGGGAAUUCCCAGUGUAGCGGUGAAAUGCGUAGAUAUUGGGAGGAACACCAGUGGCGAAGGCGCCUUUCUGGACUGUGUCUGACGCUGAGAUGCGAAAGCCAGGGUGGCGAACG